rnacentral:lncRNA from 1 species
UUGUAUGAAUGGAGGAAUGAUUGGGUGAGUUCCCGAAUGCUGUCUUUUCAGGAAGGGAGAGAAGGGUGUGCUCUCCCCCAUUCUUCAGUAUUUUUCCUAAGGUCAGGGGCAUUUCUACCAUCAGCCAAUUCCUAGUGCUCCUCCAUGCUGCCCUCCUUCUCUUAUCCCUUCCUUGGCCCCUUUUCUAGUCUCUUACCCUACCUGGGAGAUGAACAUAUUAUUUUGCUUUUGCCAGGCUUUGGGGUGGGGUCCCCUGGAGAAAGAUCCAUUCAACAUUUACUCACCUAACACUUGCCGGGUGCCUUCUCUGUCUUGGCGAGUGUGAGGCUCUACGGGUAGAACAAGAAUGAGGAAAUGUGCCCGACCCCCAGGAGCUCAUGACGGAGCGCAGCCAGGCAAGGUGAUGGGUUACAGUGGCAUUUGAUUGGAAGUCAGUGCAGUGAGGGACACCAGGAAGACUUAGAUGGAUGGGAUUCAGGGAAGGCAUCCUGGAGAAAGUGACAGCUGAACUGAGUCCUGAUCGCUGCAUGACCCUGGGAGUGACGAGGGCCCCUUACGUUUUGUGUCCUUAGUCACAGCUCUGGUCCUGAGGCUGGAUGGGAGUUGGUGGCAAAGGGGAAGACAGUGAUGGUGAACAGCUGGGAAGUGCCUUCCAGGAAAGCCCUUCCCCUUUGGUGGCCAGCUAACCACUCCUCCAGGAAGCUGUCCCUGAUUCCUACUCCAGCCCCCAAGGAAGAGGUAAGUUUUUAUGUCACCCCCCUCAUGCCGCCACUAAGCCUGGACACAUGAAUGAAUGGAUGAGCAAAGGAAGCUCAGCUGAUGAGUGGGACUGCCCAGUUCAAAAGAUGCGUUGUUUCUGAAAUGAAUACAGACUGAAUGGUGGCUGCAUUUUUGAAGGUUGCUAUGAUGCCCCGAAUGUGUAUGUGUGUGCAUUGGUGGGAUACAGAGACUCCAAUAGGGUAAAUAAUUUGAUGGGCCUUGAACUUACUCAGACAAGCAGACUAGUUUCAGAACAUUGCCAUGGAGACGAAUGAGGACUCAGCAGCAGGGUACCACUUAGGCAGUGACAGAUUUGACAGAAAAUGGGCUUAGAUACACCUUUCUUACCAGAAAAUCUCCCAGCUGAUGGGGAGAGUGCUUCAAGGCAGAAUAAAAGCUUGCACCCCCAAUGAACAGAAAGCUCCUGCAAUUAGAAAACCAGGAAGUAGCAGGUCAGGAAGAAGAUAAAUUCUUAGCGAUAGACCAAAAGACAAAUAGCAAUGAGGAUGCUGGAGCCCUGAAAUAGAUAGAGUUCAGCAUAUUGUAUUAGAAAAUAAACAAAGGAUCGGGUGCAGUGGCACAAUCUUGACUCACUGCAACCUCCGCCUCCUGGGUUCAAGUGAUUCUCCUGCCUCAGCCUCCCAAGUGGCUGGGAUUACAGGCACCUGCCACCAUGCCAGGCUCACUUUUGUAUUUUUAGUAGAGAUGGGGUUUCACUAUGUUGGCCAGCUUGGUCUUGAACUCUUGACCUCAAGUGAUC